rnacentral:lncRNA from 1 species
GUUAAGGUUAGGUUUUUGGGUUAGGGUUAGGGUAAGAUUAUGGGUUAGGGUUAGGUUUAGGGGUUAGGGAAAAAUUUGAAUGGGACUGAAUUGUGUGUCCCCACAAGGGUACAUGUACGUGCGUGCAUGUGUGUGUGUUUGUGUGUGCGUGUGCGUGAGUGAGCAGGGCUCUGUGUAUAGAAGGUUUUAUGAGGCUCAUAAGGAUGAGUCAAUUUCACGGUGAGAUAUACUGUGCUUAUAUAAACAGGAUGAACAAGAGACCCUCUCUCUCUCUUUCUCUCGCUCUCUCUGUGUCUAUCACUCUCUCUCUCGCGCUCACGCAUGCCCACAUUGUCAUUGAAGCUAAAUCAUGCUGGGAAACGGAGUUAAAGCUGUAAUUGACACAUGAGGGAGAGGUGAUAAGGGAGAGAAGGGCAGGGGGAAGGAGUAUUGUAGGUUGGAGGGAGGGAGGGAGAGAACGGCAGGAGUAGGGUAGGUUGGAGGGAGAGAAGGGCAGGAGUAGGGCAGGUUGGAGGGAGAGAAGGGCAGGAGUAGGGUAGGUUGGAGGGAGAGAAGGGCAGGGGUAGGGUAGGUUGGAGGGAGAGAAGGGCAGGAGUAGGGCAGGUUGGAGGGAGAGAAGGGCAGGGGUAGGGCAGGUUGG